GCCGAUGUAGCUCAGCCGGUCAGAGCAGCUGAUUUGUAAUCAGCAGGUCGUGGGUUCGAAUCCCUCCAUCGGCUC
rnacentral:tRNA from 1 species